CAUCAAGCCAUCCAAACCUCCCUUCUCCUCCAAUCUCAUCCAUCCAUCUCUUAGCCUUAUUUUUUUUAUUAGUUCCACAUCGAAAAAAUACAAAAUCCUCCUCCCUCCUAACACCUAUAAAUAAAGCCUAAUACUUCCACUCAAAAACAUCUCUCUCUCCACACCAUAACUCUUGUAGGGGGCCUGUGUGACAAGCAGGCAUAUCCAUCUUUUAAAUCUUUUUAGUCACAUUGUUUCCACUUUCUUCCACCCUUCCAAUACGCGAGAAGGAGAGUCAGCCAGAGGGAGAUUGGACCCAAGCCAAUAGAUAGAGAGAAGUCAGGUUCUGUGAGAGAGUUUAUUUUAUUUUAUUUUUAUUUUCUGUUCCAGCUCCAAGCCUCGUUAAUGACUUAGGAGUCAAAAAAAAAUUUGUAUCAAAAUUUUUAUUCAGCAAUAAAUUAGUUUUUUC
rnacentral:lncRNA from 1 species